UGUUUGUUUGAUGUUUCACAGCAAAUCUAGGGAACAUGCUUCUUAUCAUAUUUCUAGCCCUCUACAAAAAAAUGAAUAGUCCUAUGGAGAUUCGUCCACUUGCUCUGCAUAUGGAGAGGCUUAUGCUUUGCUUUCUCUAGAGAUACAAGCAAUUUAUAUGUGGUCCAUUUUGUAUUUUAUUAUGCGGACGUCUGCAAACAGUAUAGUCGAAGAAAUACCAUCGGAGACUUUCUCGGAACCUUUACUUAUUUCACAUAGUAGCUAUAAUGACACUAUGUAUCAAGUUGACUUACCUCAAAGCAGUGAUGAAAGGAACCGAAAGAUUUCAACUUUUGGAAAGAUCAAGCAAUGUUUUAUGACUGUUAUUAGAAGCAAGAGCUUGAAGAUAAUUUUUGCUUCGUCUAUGAUUGCAGCGAUUGUAGGGUUUAUUGUGGGAAUAGUCUCUC